UUCGGUUCCAAUCGGGUUCGGAUUGGUUCGGUAUAGAAUUUUAGAACCGCUAAAUACCUGAAAAAAA
rnacentral:sRNA from 1 species